rnacentral:tRNA from 1 species
GGCGGCAUAGCUCAGCUGGCUAGAGCAAACGGUUCAUACCCGUUAGGUCGGCGGUUCAAGUCCACCUGCCGCUACCA